rnacentral:tRNA from 1 species
AGAAGGGCCAUAGCUCAGUGGCAGAGCAUCUGUUUCCUUUGCAGAAGGCCCUGGGUUCAACCCCCCCCCCCACCUCUG